rnacentral:rRNA from 1 species
AUGGCAAUGGAGGGACCAAUUCUGUGUCGCCCUAUAAUGCAAACAAGGCUUCCUGCUGCCCUUGUCAACAACUCAUUGAUCAAAUCUGGGCAGCUUGGCACUGCAUUCUUGGGUGCUGUGUCUAAAUACUGCAACAUUACUAGACUAGUUUCUCCAAUCUUUCAGUCAUCUUCAAAGAACUUUGGUCCUAUUUGUCGUAGCUUAAGCUCCUCAUCUGAUGGUAAUGGAUACAUGGCUGGAAACUUCAAUGAAAAUGAUGAAGAUUAUGUUAAUUCCACUAUGCUUGAAGCUGGUAAUCUCUUCGUGCCAUGGUGGUUUGAAUAUUUUUCUGUAUCAUAUAUGUUCAAGAAUUACAUCAGCUUAAAUUUGUUCGCACUUAGAUUACUUUUUUUAUCUCACUAA